rnacentral:rRNA from 1 species
UACGAAGGGGGCUAGCGUUGCUCGGAAUCACUGGGCGUAAAGCGCACGUAGGCGGCUUUCUAAGUCAGGGGUGAAAUCCUGGAGCUCAACUCCAGAACUGCCUUUGAUACUGGAGAGCUUGAGUCCGGAAGAGGUGAGUGGAACUCCGAGUGUAGAGGUGAAAUUCGUAGAUAUUCGGAAGAACACCCGUGGCGAAGGCGGUUCUCUGGGACGGUACUGACGCUGAGGUGCGAGAGCGUGGGGAGCGAACCGG